rnacentral:lncRNA from 1 species
UUGAUUAGGAUUUGGUCUAAUAUUUGGUUAAGAUUUAGAGCUCGUUUAGGAUUUGAUGAGGAUUUAGAAUUUGAGUAGGAUUUGAUUUGAAUUUGUCUAAGAUUUGUCUUAAAUUUUCUAGGAGUUUGGUUUAAGAUUUGAUUAGAUUUUAGGAAUUUUUUAAGGUUUGAUUAAGGUUUGAAUAGAAUUUUAUUAGGCUUUUAUUAGGAUUUGGUUUAAGAUUUGAUUAAGAUUUGAUUAGGAUUUAUCUAAAAUUUUGUUCAGAUUGCUUUAAAGAUUUGUAUAGGAUUUUAUUAA